rnacentral:lncRNA from 12 species
GUUGAAUUGCAUCUACUUCUAAAUGAAAUUAAUUCCUGCUUUUACACAAACAACUUAUUUCUGUUCCUUUAGUGCACUGUGGUGAUCUGUUGUCAAUCCCAAGAGAUGUUAGAGAGCUAUAAAAAUUCUUUUAAGGUUGUCGGAAUCCUUCCGGUAGAGUUAGAUGGGAUAGUGGGAAGAAAGUCUUCCCUGAGAGGGUGGUGAGGCCAUGAAAUGGAUUUCCCAGAGAAGCUGUGCCUGCUCCAUCCCUGGAAGUGUCCAAG